rnacentral:rRNA from 1 species
UAGAUCAUAGUGCCUGGAAUGGCUUAUGGUCCAAACAGUUUACUGCCAUGGGAUGGGACUGCGGCCUAUCAGCUUGUUGGUGAGGUAAUGGCCCACCAAGGCGAUUACAGGUACGGGCUCUGAGAGGAGAAGCCCGGAGAUGGGUACUGAGACACGGACCCAGGCCCUAUGGGGCGCAGCAGGCGAGAAACCUUAGCAAUGUGCGAAAGCACGACUGGGUCAGUCCGAGUGAUUCCUGAUAAAGGAGUCUUUUGCCUGUCCUAAAAACACAGGUGAAUAAGGGGUGGGCAAGUCUGGUGUCAGCCGCCGCGGUAAUACCAGCACCUCGAGUGGUCAGGACGUUUAUUGGGCCUAAAGCAUCCGUAGCCGGCGCUGCAAGUCUUCGGUUAAAUCCACCUGCUCAACAGAUGGGCUGCUGGAGAUACUACAGCGCUAGGGAGUGGGAGAGGCAGACGGUAUUCAGUGGGUAGGGGUAAAAUCCUCUGAUCCAUUGAGGACCACCAGUGGCGAAGGCGGUCUGCCAGAACACGUUCGACGGUGAGGGAUGAAAGCUGGGGGAGCAAACCGGAUAGAUACCCGGGUAGUCCAGCUGUAAACGAU